ACUACGGGUGGCAGCAGUGAGGAAUCUUGGGCAAUGGACGCAAGUCUGAACCAGCCAUGCCGCGUGCAGGAAGACGGCUCUAUGAGUUUUAAACUGCUUUUUUACGAGGGUAAACGCGUAUGCGCGUAUCUGUCUGAAAGUAUCGUACGCAUAAGGAUCGGCUAACUCCGUGCCCGCAGCCGCGGUAAUACGGAGGAUUCGAGCGUUAUCCGGAUUUAUUUGGUUUAAAGGGUGCGUAGGCGGUCGGAUAAGUUAGAGGUGAAAAGCCGAGGAUCAACUUAGGAAUUGCCUCUGAUACUGUUUGGCUAGAGAGUAGUUGCGGUAGGCGGAAUGUAUGGUGUAGCGGUGAAAUGCUUAGAGAUAAUACAGAACACCGAUUGCGAAGGCAGCUUACCAAGUUACUUCUGACGCUGAGGCACGAAAGCGUGGGGAGCAAACAGGAUUAGAUACCCCAGUAGUC
rnacentral:rRNA from 1 species